rnacentral:rRNA from 1 species
UGGUGGAGUGAUUUGUCUGGUUAAUUCCGAUAACGAACGAGACCUUAACCUGCUAAAUAGCCAGGCCGGCUUUUGCUGGUCGCCGGCUUCUUAGAGGGACUGUCAGUGUCUAGCUGACGGAAGUUUGAGGCAAUAACA